rnacentral:rRNA from 1 species
AUUGAACGCUGGCGGCAGGCCUAACACAUGCAAGUCGAGCGAGCGGCGGACGGGUGAGUAAUGUAUGGGGACUGCCCGAUAGAGGGGGAUAACUACUGGAAACGGUGGCUAAUACCGCAUACUAUCGGAUAACCCAUAUGGGAUUAGCUAGUAGGUGGGGUAAAGGCUCACCUAGGCGACGAUCGCUAGCUGGUCUGAGAGGAUGAUCGGCCAUACUGGAAUUGAGAAACGGCCCAGCCUCCUACGGAGGAAGCAGUGGGGAAUAUUGCAAAUUGGGGGCAAGCCUGCUGCAGCCAUGCGGCGGGUAUGAAGAAGGCCUUAGGGUUGUAAAGUACUUUCAGCGGGGAGGCGUUACCCGAAGAAGAAGCACCGGCUAACUCCGUGCCAGCAGCCGCGGUAAUAC